rnacentral:rRNA from 1 species
CGUGUAGGCGGUUCGUUAAGUCGGGUGUGAAAGCCCGGGGCUCAGCUCCGGAAGUGCGUCCGAAACUGGCGAGCUGGAGCGCGGUAGAGGAGGGUGGAAUUCCUGGUGUAGCGGUGAAAUGCGUAGAUAUCAGGAGGAACACCGGCGGCGAAGGCGGCCCUCUGGACCGUUGCUGACGCUGAGACGCGAAAGCGUGGGGAGCAAACAGGAUUAGAUACCCUGGUAGUCCACGCUGUAAACUAUGGGUACUAGGUGUUCGGGGUGUUGACCCCCUGAGUGCCGACGCUAACGCAUUAAGUACCCCGCCUGGGGACUACGGCCGCAAGGUUAA